rnacentral:rRNA from 1 species
GGAUUUGAUCCUGGUCCAGGAUGAACGCUGGCGGCGUGGAUAAGGCAUGCAAGUCGAACGGACUUUGCUGAGAUUACAUCAAUUGCAAAGUUAGUGGCGAACGAGUUAGUAACACCUUGGUACGUACCUCAAAGACGGGCACAACCAGCCGAAAGGUUGGCUAAUUCCCGAUAGUCCCGCAAGGGUAAAUCUCGCAAGAGGCUUUGAGAUCGGCCUAGGCCCGAUCAGCUUGUUGGCGGUGUAAUAGACCACCAAGGCUACGACCGGUAGGGGAGGUGAGAGCCUGACCCCCAACGACGCAACUGAGACACGGUGCGUACUCCUACGGGAGGCAGCAGUCGAGAAUAUUCCACAAUGGGCGAAGGCCUGAUGGAGCGACGCCGCGUGGAGGAUGAAGCAUCUCGGUGUGUAAACUCCUUUUCGAGGGGAGAAAGCGCGAUAAGCGUGUGAUAGUACCCUCGGAAUAAGUGGCUGCAAACUUCGUGCCAGCAGCCGCGGUAAUACGAAGGCCACAAGCGUUAUCCGGAUUUAUUGGGCGUAAAGAGCGCGUAGGGGGCUGUAUCAGUCUCUGGUUAAAUUUCGGGGCUCAACUCCGAACCUGCCAGGGAAACGGUACGGCUUGAGAGCGUUAGAGGCAGAUGGAACGCACGGUGUAGGGGUGAAAUCCGUUGAUAUCGUGCGGAACACCAAAGGCGAAGGCAUUCUGCUGGGACGUUUCUGACCCUGAGGCGCGAAAGCGUGGGGAGCAAAAAGGAUUAGAUACCCUUGUAGUCCACGCCCUAAACGAUGCAGACUAGCUGUCUCGAGUAUCGACCCUCGGGGUGGCGUAGCUAACGCGUUAAGUCUGCCGCCUGGGAAGUACGGCCGCAAGGCCAAAACUCAAAGGAAUAGACGGGGACUCGCACAAGCGGUGGAGCAUGUGGUUUAAUUCGAUGGUAAACGAGACACCUCACCAGGGUUUGACAUGUAUUUGAAAGUUUUUCGAAAGGAAAACCCUCUUUUCACGAAGACAAAUAUACAGGUGCUGCAUGGUUGCCGUCAGCUCGUGCCGUGAGGCGUUCCCUUAAGUGGGGUAACGAGCGCAACCCCUGUUCCGUGUUAUAAGUGUCACGGAAGACUGCCGUCUUAUAGACGGAGGAAGGCGGGGACGACGUCAAAUCAGCAUGGCCCUUUGAUACCCUGGGCUACACACAUGCUACAAUGGUCGGAACAGCGGGCUGCCAAGCCGUAAGGCGGAGCUAAUCCCGAAAUCCGGCCUCAGUUCAGAUUGAGGGCUGCAACUCGCCCUCAUGAAGUUGGAAUCGCUAGUAAUCGCGGAUCAGCAUGCCGCGGUGAAUACGUUCUCGAGUCCUGUACUCACUGCCCGUCACGUCAGGGGAGCUGGGAGUAGGUGAACUCCGAUCUCGGUCGGAGCAGCCUAAGCUCGGUGACAUGGACGAAGUCGUAACAAGGCA